GCAUAAUAAUUUGUCUUUUAAUUGGAGACUUGUAUGAAUGGAUAGACGAGAAUAACGCUGUCUCUUUCACUAUGUGUAAAAAUUAAUAUUUAAGUGAAGAAGCUUAAAUAUAAUAAAAAGACAAGAAGACCCUGUUGAGCUUUAUAUAUAUACAAAUAUAUGAUAGUAAUUAAUAAUAUUUUUUAAUUAUAUUUAGUUGGGGCGAUUUGAGAAGAGAAUAUAUCUUCUUUUAUAAUUAAGGAUAUAAUUCUAUAGAUUAAUCCACUUAGGUGAAUAAAUAAUAAGCUACCACAGGGAUAACAGGCUAAUCUUUUUUGAGAGUUCAUAUUGAGAAAAGGGU
rnacentral:rRNA from 1 species